CUACCUCACUGGCUUUGAGCACAACCCAGGAAGAAGUUUGAAACCAAGAAAAUGGUGAUUGGGAAGACCAGGAUGCGCAAUGGCAAAAUAUUGGAUGGAGAAAUGGAUUCAGAUGGAGGCAUCAUUGAGCUUAUUCUUGACUCAUCUCAGUCCAAACAUUACUCUGUCAAUCGUUGUUCUUAAAAUCUGCAUAUUAAAAGCUCAGCAUCAACUA
rnacentral:lncRNA from 1 species